rnacentral:lncRNA from 1 species
AAAAAACUUUACAAUAGGGAGUACAUGCAUGAGAUCACAGCGUUUUACCACACAACAUACAGCUCCUAAAUGAUGACUCCUGUGGCAGCAGAGAGUGAUGCCAUGGUGCAACUGGAGAUACACAAAGGCAACACAGCAAAACGAGGACUGCCAUUCCAUUACACCAUUUGGCCUGCAAGGCAGUGACCUCAGUUGGCCGAUACCCCAGGAGGCCAUGUCUCAUCACUGGAUCGCUGUGCUGGUAUGAAAGGUCAAAACUGUGCGCUGGCCUCCCACUGCUCCACUCUCUGAGGAAACAAAUCCAAGUGGUGCUUGGGAUGAGGGGGCCAACAGCAAAGUCCUGCCAACAGGCUGAGUGAGUGGGUUUUGGCAUUUGCAGCCAUCUCCUAAAAGUUGGAGCUCCUCUCAAACAGUGAGAAGGAUCCGUAUCUCAGGAAGAUAUGUGGGGAGUAGGGCUGCAGUGUGGGUGUGCCUUCUGCCUAUGGGAGGCAGGGAGGCAGGGAGGGAGGCAGUGCCAUGCCAGAGGCCAGAGGGGAACAGGGGGAGCCAAUUUGGACUCCAUGGUAAAAUUUACACCACUGAGCCCACUUCUAUAUGCAACAGAAAGAGGAAGGUGAGCUUCACUUUACUAGAAAACUGCCUAGUUCAGCCAGUGGUGUACACCACUUGCUGUUUUUGUUGUCAAAGUUUGCUUGCUCAGAAAUUUGGUUAUUACCCAGCUGAACGGAAUUUGGUUAUCACCCAGCUGAACAGAAUCUGGUUCUCCUACUCUUCGGGUAAUGAAGGAAAGUAUUUUUGUCCUAAGAAAAUUCUGAACCAUUAUGAGAACCAUUAUAAUCUUUUGCAAAAUUUGUUUAUGACACAAACAUUAAAUGCAGGUGAGAGAAAUGAGAAUAACCAGCCAAAAUCCACUGCUGUCUGAAUGUGCCAUGUAAAAUCUCUAUAGAAAGAAAAAAAAAAAAAGAAAAAUCAUGUACAUAUCACAGGUGCAUAUCACAAGCAUAUAUGUAUAAUUGAUGCAGUGUAGUAACAUUCAGCACUCUUCUCUUCUAGCCCCACAUGGGCCAAAAAUGCACAGCACAGAUUUGGCUGAGCAGAGAUGACGGUGAGGGGGUAUCAGCACUCAAAGUAUAAAGAGGGACAGGCCCUGUGCCAUUAGAGUACCUAAUCCUUGGAAGCCCCACAGCUCAUGCUGUGGAGCAGAGAAGUUCCUGGGAGCAACUGAUAAAGGGAGGGGGACUGAACACUAGAAGAUGCUGGCCAGAAAAGCUGCAGAGUUUCUAUCCUUGGGGAUUCUCAAAUCCAGACCUAAUUCUAGGCAAUCUUCUAUAGGUGACCGUGCAAUUUGUAUUCAGUGCCUGAUAUUAAGGACAGUUUGUAGAGGUGGUGGAAACAGGCCUUGCAAAGCUUACAAAAGACUUCACCUGUUCACGCUGUGAAGGGUAAGAAGGUGAAGGAAGGCUGGCCCAAGAUAACCACUGGCUCUGCAGAGAUGCCAGGUAAAGGUGGAGGUAGGACAAUCUGCACAACUGGUGUCCCCCUUGUACACAGCUUCCCCUUGCCAAGCUGUAAAUCACCACUCAGGGGCUGGCCCAGCCCAGAGCUGGCUGUGGAAGAAAUCCCUCCUGGCAGGGAGAAAGGAGCAGCCUUCCUGGAAUGAGCGAGCAGCCAACAAACAUUGCAGCUCCAGACAAACUUCAGCCCUAGUCAAUCUGCUCGCUGCUGUCAGCCCUCCUGCCACCCCUUCCCCACUUUCUCCUGCCCUUCAGCCACCAGGAGCUGCAGCUUUUUUUUCCCCUGGAGUCUUCCCCAGCCCUGGCAGCAGCAUGCUGUCUGGCCUGGCAAGGGUGGCUUCACUGCCAGGCUUUCUACCCAGGAGGGUAACAGGCUCACUCACCAACACAGGGUUCACAAGGGGCCCCAGGCACAUCGCUUAGCCCCAUUCCCUGCCACUGCCUCCAUUAUCUUCCCCAGCCCUGCAUAGCCCUGGUGCGCAGACAACUGCCCAUUACUACUGAGCAGUUGCCUGAAUCCCACUAAAAGCUUGUCAAAGUGCCCAGAGAGCUGAAAGUGAGCUCUUUAAAUUACAUUUGUUGAAAGAUCCCUGGUGCCUGUUCCUGCUUUUCGUUUUCAACAACUCUCUGAAAUCAUAGUUUGUUUUACAGUGAUGUUUUGUUUUUCUUUUCCUGCAUCCAACCUAUAAGUCAUGGAUGAUGCAUAUUGAACACAUUAAAUGGAUUUCAGUGGGCUGCACACCAUGUGUGCACAGGGCUGAGGCCUGGGAGAACGGCAUUUUUGUGUUUGCUUUCUGUGCCAGGAAGCCAUGCAGUGUGCUGCUCCCUUAUGCAUGGCCCUGCAUUGAUUUCUGCAAAUGUGAAAACCAAGAAAGAAGCUGCAUGGAUAGAGACAGCAGAACCACUAAGGAUACUACCAAAGAGGAAGAAUCAAGAGUCUAACUGAUGGGUUAAAGCAGUGCCUGGAAAUCAGGACUGCUUGGAUCAAUGCCUAACCACAGCUGACAACAGGCAAGUCUCUUCACUGCUGUGCUUCUGCCUCCCCAUCUGGAAACCGAGGAGAGUAAACAAAUUCAGUGCCCUAUCCUCAGGGAAGGUAUGUGCAGUUCGGAAAGUGUUUUGAGCUCCCC